rnacentral:tRNA from 1 species
GGUGGCAAAAUGGUUAAGCACUUGGCUGCUAACCAAGAUGUCAGUGGUUCAAACCCACUAGCCA